AACGCGUGGGUAACCUGCCCUAUACACAUGGAUAACAUACUGAAAAGUUUACUAAUACAUGAUAAUAUAUAUUUACGGCAUCGUAGAUAUAUCAAAGUGUUAGCGGUAUAGGAUGACCCGCGUUUGAUUAGCUAGUUGGUGAGAUAACUGCCCACCAAGGCGACGAUCAGUAGCCGGCUUGAGAGAGUGUACGGCCACAUUGGGACUGAGACACGGCCCAGACUCCUACGGGAGGCAGCAGUC
rnacentral:rRNA from 1 species